rnacentral:rRNA from 1 species
UACGAAGGGGGCUAGGCGUUGUUCGGAAUUACUGGGCGUAAAGCGCAACGUAGGCGGAUUGUUAAGUUAGGGGUGAAAUCCCAGGGCUCAACCCUGGAACUGCCUUUAAUACUGGCAAUCUCGAGUCCGAGAGAGGUGAGUGGAAUUCCGAGUGUAGAGGUGAAAUUCGUAGAUAUUCGCAAGAACACCAGUGGCGAAGGCGGCUCACUGGCCCGGUAUGACGCUGAGGUGCGAAAGCGUGGGGAGCGAACAGGA